GGUGAUAAUAGGUGGAGCAGCGAGAGAACGGCGUCGUCGGAUUGUGGAGGGAAGAAAAGCAAGGAAGAGGGUGACGUGGCGGAGGAGCUGAAGAAAGCCUUGAAAGGAGCUUCUUGAUGUGAGCUAUGAGCUUAGAUUAUAUUGGAAGGAAUAUAUAUGGAUUUGGAAUAGAGUUUGUGGUUGUGUUGAUUAAACAAAGUAGGAGAUUUUACACUCUGGAGGGAUCUAGAAAGCUAUCUGGAAGCAAUUGUUGACAAGGAUGUUAGAGAGUUCCAUUGGAGUUACUGCUCAUGUUCAGUCCUACGAGGAAAUCUAGUGGUGAAGAUGUUUAGUGGUAUGAUGAAUCUGGAUGAGUGUUGGGUGAUGAUGAUUGCUAGCAAAUCUGUUUCUAGAAAAAGUUGGAAAGAAACAUGUAUUAUUUGCUGCGUAUUUGUGUAAUGAAAGUGUAAUGAAAGCCUUCUCUUUCUACAAGUCCCUUCUCCUUCAAAUUCUUUCUGACUUCAAGCUAUCUCUUUUGCUUUCUAUGUUUCUUAGCCUUCAAGUUCCAAAGUCUCAGAAAGCAUUUGUAUUUUCACAUACAACAAAAACAGUUUUCAUCUCAUGGCUUUUUCAUGCACUCUCUUAUUUCGGAUGUUUUUCAAAUUAUUCUCAUUUAUUUUAUUAAUCUUUGUUUUAAUGUUUUUAUUUAAAAAUCUAUUUUUAAAAUAUUAUCUUCUAAUAUGUUUUAUUUAAUCAAUUUUUUUAAGUAAAAUAAAAAAAUGUUUAAAGUUUUUUUUUUUAGAAUCCCUAAAUAAGAGACUCCCAUUGGAGCACGAAAAUGUUUGGAUUUUUAGUGUUGUCUCUUAAUUUACUUUUACAACUUAAAAGUAUUAAAAAAAAUAAGAAUCCCUAAAUGAGUCUUUGGUUAAGAGUAACUCCAAUGGAGUUACCCAUCAUUGGAGUCCUUAACAAUAGAAUAAUAUUAUUUUUUUUUUGAAUAGUUAAGGACUCUAAUCAAAAUUGUAUGUCUAUUAUGAAGUUCUUAAGAAUAAAAAAUAUUAAAUUUGUAAAAUAUUUAAAUUGAAAAUUUUAUUUAUUGAAUGAUUAAAUGUAAACAUACAAUAAUUAUACAUAUUCAUCAUUACCAAACUUGUUCCAAAUAUUUUCAAUUAAAUCAUAUUUCAAUUGUUCAUGUAUAUGCCUAUCACGAACAUGAUUCCGUAGGCCAAGCAUAUUACCGAGAUUUGAAGGCAUGUCGGUAGAAUAUGACAAAUUCACAUGUGAACAUGAUUCCGUAGGCCAAGCAUAUUGCCGUAUGAAUGCUUUUUUUCCCCUUACGAAACACAACCCUAACUCGCACCAAUCAGACGUUGCCAAGUCAUCUAGGACCAAGUCCUUAAACUCCUUAAUUAAGGACCCUUUCUUAGCUUACAAAAUUUUUAUAAUAUUAUUUUAAUCUGUUUUGCAUAAAGAUUAGUGCUAAGAAACAACUAAGAACCCGCGUUGCAGGUGGUCUAAUGGUGCUCUUAGUUUACACAUCGUACAUGUCACAUGUGCUUCUUUUUUUUUGGUCAAAGUCACAUGUGCUUC